UCAGUGGUAGAGUGAUGAACUUUAAGAUUGGUGUGAGGGAAGCAUGGGUUCGAACCCCACUCGGAACUUACAAAAAACUUCAAAGAGCAUCCACUGCAUCAUCAUGUGUGCUUAAAAACACACAACACGGUGAUGGAGCUGCCCAGGGGAGUAGGGGAGGUGAGUGCGCAGCACCUCCCCAACCUCCCCAACCUUCCCCACCUUUGUCCCACCCCUUGUCCCACCAUAAAAAGUAGAUUCACUGACCACCAAUUUGAUUCCUUCAGCAACAUGAGGAUACACCAGACUUCCUUGAUUAUUUACCCAUACCAUACUUAUCAUGAUUAUCCCAUACCUUGUCUCACCUGCAGCAGGAACAUCAGGAGCAGCAGGAAUAUUAGUAGCAGCAGGAGCAGCAGGUGAGUGCACAACACCUCCUUACCCUUCCCAUACUUAUCCCAUCCUUUGUCUCAACAACACAGCAGAAACAUCAGGAGCAGCAAGUGAGUAGUGAACAGCAUUUACUUACCCGCCCCAUACUGAUCCCACCCCUUGUCUCACCCACAACAGGAACAAAAGGAACAUCAGGACUAGCAGGAGCAGCAGGAACAACAUCAGGACUAGCAGGAGCAGCAGGAACAUCAUUAGCAGCAGGAAAACCAGGAGCAGCAGGAACAUCAGGAGAAACAGGAACAUCCACAGGUGAGUGCACAACACCUCCCUACCCUUCCCAGACUUAUCCCAUCCCUUGUUUCAUCCACAGCCAGAACAUCAGAAGCAGCAGGAGCAGCAGAUACAAAAGGAGCAUCAGGAGCAGCAGGUGAGUGCACAACUCCUCCCUACCCUUCCCAUCCCUUGUCUCACCCACAGCAGGUACAGCAGGAACAUCAGGAGCACCAGGAACAGCAGGACCAGCGGAUACAGCAAGAAAAUUAGGAGCAGUAAGAACGUCAGGUGCAGCAGGAAAAUCAAGACCAAUCAAUAGGAGCAGCAGGAACAGCAGGGGCAUCAGGAACACAGGGAACAGCAGGUAAAGCAACAACAUCAGAAGCAGCAGGAACAUCAGGAGCAGCAGGUGAGUGCGCAACACCUCCCCACACAUCCCAUACUUAUCCCAUCCCUUGUCUCACCCACUGCAGGUACAGCAGGAACAUAAGGAGAAGCAGGAACAGCAGGAGCAUUAGAUACAGCACCAACAACAGAAGCAGCAAGAACUUCAGGUGCAGCAGGAACAUCAGGACCACUAGGAGCAGCAGGUGAGUGCACAACACCUCCCUACCCUUCCCAUACUUAUCACAUCCACUUUCUCACCCACAGCAAGAACAGAAGGGCAGCAGAUACAGCAGGAAAGUAAGGAGCAGUAUGAGCAGCAGGAACAUCAGGAAGAUCAGCAGCAGCAGUAACAUCAGGAGCAGCAGGAACAUCAGGAGCAGCAGGAACAUCAGGAGCAGCAGGAACAUCAGGAGCAGCAGUAACAUCAGGAGCAGCAGGAACAUCAGGAGCAGCAGGAAGAUCAGGAGCAGCAGGAACAUCAGGAGCAGCAGUAACAUCAGGAGCAACAGGAAUAUCAGGAGCAGCAGGAACAUCAGGAGCAACAUGAGCAGCAGGUGAGUGCAAAACACCUCCUUACCUUUCCCAUACUUAUCCCAUCAUUUGUCUCACCCACAGCAGGUACAGCAGGAACAGCAGGAGCAGCAGAUAAAACAAGAACAUUAGGAACUGCAGGAGUAGCAGGUGAGUGCUCAACACCUCCUUACCCUUACCAUACUCAUCCCAUCCUUUGUCUCACCAACAAAGCAGGUACACAGGAACAUCAGGAGCACCAGGGAAAGCAGGAGAAAUAGAUACAGAGGGAGCAUCAGGAGCAGCAGUGAAAGCAGGAGCAGCAGAUACAGCAGGAACAUCACGAGGAGCAGGAACAGCAGAAGCAACAGAUACAUCAAGAACAUCAGGAGCAGCAGGAGUAGGUGAGUACACAGUACCUUAACCUUCCAAUACUUAUCCCAUCCCUUGUCUUACCCACAAUAGGAAAAGCAGGAACAUCACGAGCAGCAGGAACAUCAGGAGAAACAGGAACAUCAGGAUCAGCAGGAGCAGCAGGUGAGUGCACAACAACUCCGUAACCUUUCCAUACUUAUCCAAUCCCUUAUCUCCCUCAGCAGAUACAGUAGGGGCAGCAGCAACAUAAGGAGCAGCACGAACAUCAGGAACAGCAGGAGCAGUAGGAAUAUAAGUAGCAACAAGAACAGCAGGAGCAGCAGGUGAGUGCACAGCACCUCCCUACCAUUCCUAUGCUUAUCCCAUCCCUUGUCUCUCCCACAGCAGGUACAUCAGGAGCAGCAGGAACAUCACGAGCAGCAGGAACAGCAGGUUCAGCAGUUAACACAGGAGAAGCAGGUGAGCACACAACACUUCCCUACCAUUCCCAUAAUCAUCCCAUUCCUUGUCUCACCCACAACAGGAGGAGGAGCAGCAGGAGCAGCAGUUUCAGGAGCAUCAGGUGAGUGUGCCCUACCCUCUCCAUACUUAUCCCAUCCCUUGUCUCACCCACUGAACGUACAGCAGCAGGUGAGGGCGUCACAUAACCCUGCCUUCCCUACUUCCAAUCCCAUCUCUUGUCGCAACAAGAGCAUCGUAAAUAGGAACAGUAGGAACAGCAGGAAGAGCAAGAGUACUAGGUGAGAGCUAAACACCUCCCUGCCUUCCCCACCACUAUUCCAUCCCUUGUCCCAGCAGGAGCAUCACAACCAAGAGCAGCAGGUACAGCAGCAGCAGUAGGAUCAUCAAGAGCAGCAGGUACUGCAGGAGCACACAUCAGGAGUAGCAGAAACAGCAGGUACGAAAGGAGGUACAGCAGCAGCAGCAGCACCCCCACAAACAGCAGCAGCAGAUAAAGCAGAUGUAGCAGCACCAGCAGCAGAUGCAAUAGCAGACGCAAGAGCAGCAGCAGCAGCAUCAGAUGCUUUUCUCCUCUUUCUCCUCCUCCUCCUCCUGGUUCUUCUCU